CUGAGGCGUUCUGGCUGCCUGCCCAAUCUGGCUGCAGCCCGAGGCUCUGCCUCAGUUAUCUGCAGCACCCAGGUUGUCAGAGCCAACGAUCUCUGCAAAUUGCCUUUGUUUGUGGGUUGAGCUGACCAAAUAUGUGGACAGGAAGCCCACCUGAAGGGUAUUCGCAUGGCUCAUCACUUCCCAAUGAAAAGGCUGAAAGGGGGAGUACUCCAAGUGGACUAACAAAGACUUCCCCAAAAUGUGUGUGACUUCUACAACUACUUAAAAAGCAUCCAGCCAGGCACAGUGGCUCAUGUCUGUAAUCCCAGCACUUCAGGAGGCCAAGGUGGGCGGAUCACGAGGUCAGGAGUUCGAGACCAGUCUGGCCAACAUGGUGAAACCCUGUCUCUACUAAUAAUACAAAAAUUAGCCAGGCGUGGUGGCGUGCGCCUGUAGUCCCACCUACUUGGGAGGAUGAGGCAGGAGAAUUGCUUAAACCGGGGAGGUGGAGGUUGCAGUGAACCGAGAUUGCACCACUGCACUCCAGCCUGGGUGAUGAAGCAAGACUCCGUCUCAAGGAAAAAAAAAAAGCAUCUAGUUGGAUGCUUAGUAUCUCUUAUGUUUUUGACUUUAUGAUCAUGUUGGAAAAGAAAAUAUUUCUUUUCCUCACCCAUCCUUAGGCUUAUGUCUGAGAUGCCUAUAACAAGAGAAAAGCAUACAAAUUUAUUGAAUAUAAAUUUUGCAUAACACGGGAGACUUUUCGAAAUGAACACUCAAAGAAAUAGGUAAACCUGUGUAUUUUUUUAUGAUAGGUUUGACGAAGAAGUGGACAGUUGUGGAGAAGUGUGACUGGAUUAAAAAUGAUGAUUUAAUGCCUGUUUUAGAGCCUCCUGCCCUGAAGCCUAUUCUUCCCCAAACCCUCUGUGGAAUGAGGUCGUCUUGGUGGUUUCAACCAGCUCCUGACAGAUCCCAGCAACUUACAGAUGAAAGCAAGUGACCUUUCCUCAUUACUGUGAUGAAGUCUCCACCCCUGAGGAGCUAGAGUUUCAUCACCAUGAUGUGCGACCUAUGCACCGGCAUGAUGACUCACUACACGCACCACUGAGACCCCUCUUCUACAUGUGAUGAUGCACCCUCUCCCCUCUCCAUCACUCCAUAAAACCCUCCCAUCACUUUCCCUAGGGGAGAGACUGCUUUGAAGAAUGCUCCCAGUGUCCUCCUUACUUGAGCCAAGUAAUAAACCUCCUAUUAAUAAAAACCUG
rnacentral:lncRNA from 10 species